GACGAACGCUGGCGGCGUGCUUAACACAUGCAAGUCGAACGGAAAGGCCCUGCUCUUGUGGGGUGCUCGAGUGGCGAACGGGUGAGUAACACGUGAGUAACCUGUCCUUGACUUUGGGAUAACUUCAGGAAACUGGGGCUCAUAUCGGAUAGGAGCUCUUGCUGCACGGUGGGGGAUGGAAAGUUUCGGCGGUUGGGGAUGGACUCGCGGCUUAUCAGCUUGUUGGUGGGGUUGUGGCUUACCAAGGCUUUGACGGGUAGCCGGCCUGAGAGGGUGACCGGCCACAUUGGGACUGAGGUACGGCACAGACUCCUACGGGAGGCAGCAGUGGGGAAUAUUGCAGAAUGGGCGGAAGCCUGAUGCAGCAACGCCGCGUGCGGGAUGACGGCCUUCGGGUUGUAAACCGCUUUCGCCUGUGACGAAGCGUGAGUGACGGUAAUGGGUAAAGAAGCACCGGCUAACUACGUG
rnacentral:rRNA from 1 species